GUGUUUAGAUAAUGUUAAAAUGCAAAUCAAAGUUAAGCAUCUUUAGAUUAAUUGUGGUAUUUGUUAAAAAGAAGGAUCUGGAAUCUAAUUCAAUCUCAAAAGUUAGCUUAAGAGAGGAGGAUUAUCGAAGAACAUGUAAAGAGAUCAUCCAUUCCUUUUACAUUCGAUGUGGAACUCUUCAAUACCGUACCUUACGUCCAGGGCUGGACAUCUCUGAAGUGUAGGCAAUUUGAUAUGGAAGCCCAACAUCAUGAAACAAGAAUUGGGAUGUAUUAUGUUUUGAUAGCAUGUUAAGAAAUGAAUCUAGUAUUUGAUAAAAAUCAAAAGUAUGGUUUAAAGUAGUGUUUUUAAGCUAAAAAUAAAUCAAAAGCAAUAAGUUCAACACCACUCAACUUUGCUUGUUUUCCGUUUUAAUAGUUUUAUCCAAACGAGCAAUUAGUUAUUUUUAAUACAAUUGAAAAGUAUGGUGCUUAAACACAACUCAACUAAUUUCAAGUACAAUACAGGUAUCAAAUAGCUCUUAUUCAACAAAGCUUGAAUAUGUGGAAGUAAACUAAUCUAGUAUUCUUUAGGCGCCCUUGUAACAAUUGGUAUCAAGGCCAAGGUUCGACAACGGAUGAAGAAACACAUUGCUAUUGUCAUCAUUUUUGGCCAUGACAUCUUAGGUGCCCAAAAUUGUAUCAAUUUACCUGCCCUAUUUUAGGUAUUUUCAAAUUAAGUGAUCAUAAGUAACGAGUAUUCACACAUCCUUAAUUAGAAUCGGAUAGAAGCCUCUUAGGUCAUGAGAGACUUGAUGAGUUAAUCAAUUCCUUUACCACAUUUCUACCCCUUCUCUUUUGAACCACCUAUAAGGAUUUUUAGUCUAGCUAAGCUACCUAAAACACUUUGAAAAAUUGAUUUCUCAAAUCGUCAGUUAAUACUCACCAUAUCCCAUUUCUUCUUGAUUUCAAUUAAUUCAAUAAAAAAUGACUUUCUAAAAUAAUAUUUAACUACUAGUUAAGUGAGUAUACUAGAAAUCAACUCCCACCUUAAAAUAAGUCUCAUCCUUUCAUAUACUCGCUCUGUUUUUAAAAAAAAAAUGAUUUAUUUUCUUUUUUAGUCUGUUUCAAUAAGAAUGACCCUUUUUCUUUUUUGGUAAGACUUGAACUUCAACUUUCCACCUGACAUGUUUAAGACAUAAGAUUUUAGGACAUUUUGAUACAUUUGACAUAACUUUAAUUUAGAAUCAUAAGUUCUUUUCUUAAACUCCGCUCUAAAUCAAACUAAGCCAUUCUUUUUGAAACAGAGAGAGUAAUAAUUUGCCCUGCCUCGUGAUUCGAAAGAUAACUAAAGCCUCUAUCUUGAAGGGGGCGUGAUAAUUUCAUCUAACGUAUGAUAUUACGUACGAAAGUAAAUAAAUACAAAUUUAAUCAGACUCCAAUAUAAAUACAUAACAUAAAAAUAAAAAUAAAAACAGAGGAAAAGUAGUUGUUACUUGAAGGGAAGUUCUUGAAGAAGAGUGGACAUAUUUUGCAAAGCUCCUUUUGUGUGUUCAUCAUGACUUAUUGAAUCACCAGAAGAAGAAGAAUUCGGAGAAGUCGGAUCUGAAGAAUCCCCUUCUCCUUCUUCUUCUUC
rnacentral:lncRNA from 1 species